ACGUUAAAGAGUUUACUCUUUAUGGUGGCGACCGGCGGACGGGUGCGUAACGCGUAUGCAACCUGCCUGACACAGGGGGAUAAUCCGAAGAAAUUUGGUCUAAUACCCCAUAAUACCGAUAUAGGCAUCUAUGUUGGUUGAAAGCUUUGGUGGUGUCAGAUGGGCAUGCGUUGUAUUAGCUAGUUGGUGAGGUAACGGCUCACCAAGGCGACGAUACAUAGGGGGACUGAGACACGGCCCAAACUCCUACGGGAGGCAGCAUG
rnacentral:rRNA from 1 species